GGUUCGAUCAUGGCUCAGAUUGAACGCUGGCGGGAUGCUUUACACAUGCAAGUCGAACGGCAGCACGGACUUCGGUCUGGUGGCGAGUGGCGAACGGGUGAGUAAUGUAUCGGAACGUGCCUAGUAGCGGGGGAUAACUACGCGAAAGCGGCUAAUACCGCAUACGCCCUUCGGGGGAAAGCGGGGGACCUUCGGGCCCGCACUAUUAGAGCGGCCGAUAUCGGAUUAGCUAGUUGGUGGGGCAACGGCUCACUAAGGCGACGAUCCGUAGCUGGUUUGAGAGGACGACCAGCCACACUGGGACUGAGACACGGCCCAGACUCCUACGGGAGGCAGCAGUGGGGAAUUUUGACAUUGGGGAAACCCUGAUCCAGCCAUCCCGCGUGUGUGAUGAAGGCCUUCGGGUUGUAAAGCACUUUUGGCAGGAAAGAAACGGCACGAUAAUACCCCGUGCAACUGACGGUACUGGUGAGAAUAAGCAAUCACAAUCCAUGCGCCAGCAGCCGCGGUAAUACGUAGGGUGCAAGCGUUAAUCGGAAUUACUUGGCGUAAAGCAAAGCAGGCGGUCUGGAAAGAAAGAUGUGAAAUCCCAGAGCUUAACUUUGGAACUGCAUUUUUAACUUACCGAGCUAGAGUGUAAGCCGAGGGAGGAAUUCAUGUAGCAGUGAAACGCAGAUAUGCGGAGGAACACCACGGCGAAGGCAGCCUCCUGGGAUAACACUGACGCUCAUGCACGCAGCGCGCGGAGCAAACAGAUUAGAUACCCUGGUAGUCCACGCCCUAAACGAUGUCAACGAAGCUGGGGCCUUCGCCUUGUAGCGCAGCUAACGCGUGAAGUUGACCGCUCGGGGAGUACGGCCGCAAGAUUAAAACUGAAGGAAUUGACGGGGACCCGCACAAGCGGUGGAUGAUGUGAUUAAUUCGAUGCAACGCGAAAACUCCUUACCUACCCUAUUACGUCUGGAAUCCCGAAGAGAUUUGGGAGUGCUGCAAGAGAACCGGAACACAAAGGCAUGGCUGUCGUCAGCUCGUGUCGUGAGAUGUUGGGUUAAGUCCUUCCGCAACGAGCGCAACCCUUGUCAUUAGUUGCUACGAAAGGGCACUCUAAUGAGACUGCCGGUGACAACCGGAAAGGAAGGUGGGGAUGACGUCAAGUCCUCAUGGCCCUUAUGGGGUAGGGCUUGCACACGUCAUACAAUGGUCGGGACAGAGGGUCGUCAACCCGCGAGGGGGAGCCAAUCCCAGAAACCCGAUCAGUAGUCCGGAUCGCAGUCUGCAACUCGACUGCGUGAAGUCGGAAUCGCUAGUAAUCGCGGAUCAGCAUGUCGCGGUGAAUAAUGUUCCCGGGUCUUGUACACACCGCCCGUCACACCAUGGAGUGGGUUUUACCAGAAGUAGUUAGCCCAACCGUAAGGAGGGCGAUUACCACGGUAGGAUCUUGCGACUGGGGUGUCCUCCAU
rnacentral:rRNA from 1 species